rnacentral:rRNA from 1 species
GAUGAACGCUGGCGGCGUGCCUAAUACAUGCAAGUCGAGCGAACAGACGAGGAGCUUGCUCCUCUGACGUUAGCGGCGGACGGGUGAGUAACACGUGGAUAACCUACCUAUAAGACUGGGAUAACUUCGGGAAACCGGAGCUAAUACCGGAUAAUAUAUUGAACCGCAUGGUUCAAUAGUGAAAGACGGUUUUGCUGUCACUUAUAGAUGGAUCCGCGCCGCAUUAGCUAGUUGGUAAGGUAACGGCUUACCAAGGCAACGAUGCGUAGCCGACCUGAGAGGGUGAUCGGCCACACUGGAACUGAGACACGGUCCAGACGCCUACGGGAGGCAGCAGUAGGGAAUCUUCCGCAAUGGGCGAAAGCUUGACGGAGCAACGCCGCGUGAGUGAUGAAGGUCUUCGGAUCGUAAAACUCUGUUAUUAGGGAAGAACAAAUGUGUAAGUAACUAUGCACGUCUUGACGGUACCUAAUCAGAAAGCCACGGCUGACUACGU